rnacentral:tRNA from 1 species
GCCGGGGUGCCCGAGGGGUCAGGGGCUCGGCUGCAGACCGAGUUGACGAGGGUUCAAAUCCCUCCCCCGGCU